rnacentral:misc_RNA from 1 species
GAUGAAGAACGUAGCGAAAUGCGAUAAGUUAUGUGAAUUGCAGAAUUCAGUGAAUCAUCGAAUCUUUGAACGCACAUUGCGCCCGCCAGUAUUCUGGCGGGCAUGCCUGUCUGAGCGUCAUUUCAACCCUCAUGCCCCUAGGGCGUGGUGUUGGGGAUCGGCCAAAGCCCGCGAGGGACGGCCGGCCCCUAAAUCUAGUGGCGGACCCGUCGUGGCCUCCUCUGCGAAGUAGUGAUAUUCCGCAUCGGAGAGCGAUGAGCCCCUGCCGUUAAACCCCCAACUUUCCAAGGUUGACCUCAGAUCAGGUAGGAAUACCCGCUGAACUUAAGCAUAUCAAUAAGCGGAGGA